GAGGAAUAUUGGUCAAUGGACGAGAGUCUGAACCAGCCAAGUAGCGUGAAGGAUGACUGCCCUAUGGGUUGUAAACUUCUUUUAUACGGGAAUAAAGUUAGCCACGUGUGGCUUUUUGUAUGUACCGUAUGAAUAAGGAUCGGCUAACUCCGUGCCAGCAGCCGCGGUAAUACGGAGGAUCCGAGCGUUAUCCGGAUUUAUUGGGUUUAAAGGGAGCGUAGGCGGGUUGUUAAGUCAGUUGUGAAAGUUUGCGGCUCAACCGUAAAAUUGCAGUUGAUACUGGCGACCUUGAGUGCAACAGAGGUAGGCGGAAUUCGUGGUGUAGCGGUGAAAUGCUUAGAUAUCACGAAGAACUCCGAUUGCGAAGGCAGCUUACUGGAUUGUAACUGACGCUGAUGCUCGAAAGUGUGGAUAUCAAACAGGAUUAGAUACCCUGGUAGUCCACACAGUAAACGAUGAAUACUCGCUGUUGGCGAUAUACGGUCAGCGGCCAAGCGAAAGCAUUAAGUAUUCCACCUGGGGAGUACGCCGGCAACGGUGAAACUCAAAGGAAUUGACGGGGGCCCGCACAAGCGGAGGAACAUGUGGUUUAAUUCGAUGAUACGCGAGGAACCUUACCCGGGCUUAAAUUGCAACUGACUGAACCGGAAACGGUUCUUUCUUCGGACAGUUGUGAAGGUGCUGCAUGGUUGUCGUCAGCUCGUGCCGUGAGGUGUCGGCUUAAGUGCCAUAACGAGCGCAACCCUUAUCGAUAGUUACUAGCAGGUCAUGCUGAGGACUCUAUUGAGACUGCCGUCGUAAGAUGUGAGGAAGGUGGGGAUGACGUCAAAUCAGCACGGCCCUUACGUCCGGGGCUACACACGUGUUACAAUGGGGGGUACAGAAGGCAGCUACACGGCGACGUGGUGCUAAUCCCGAAAGCCUCUCUCAGUUCGGAUUGGAGUCUGCAACCCGACUCCAUGAAGCUGGAUUCGCUAGUAAUCGCGCAUCAGCCACGGCGCGGUGAAUACGUUCCCG
rnacentral:rRNA from 1 species